rnacentral:rRNA from 1 species
AUGUAUGCCAAGUGUGGGGGUAUUGAGGAUGCCCGCUUGGCUUUCGAGAUGGUUCCCCAUGAUGAUGUGAUGCUUUGGAGUUUUAUGAUAUCCAUGUACGCACAGAGCAAUCAGAACGAGCAGGCCUUCGAGCUGUUCAUCAAAAUGAUGUGGUCUUCUCUGGUGCCUAAUGAAUUUAGUCUAUCAAGUGUUCUGCAAGCUUGUGCUAAUAUGCCCCUCUUGGACCUAGGCGAGCAAAUUCAUAGCAAUGCUAUAAAGAUUGGUCAUGAGUCUGAGUUAUUUGUUGGAAAUGCACUAAUGGAUCUCUAUGCCAGGUGCAGCGACAUGGAAAGCUCACUCAAGAUCUUCUCAUCAUUGCGGGAUGCCAACGAGGUGAGCUGGAACACAAUUAUUGUUGGUUACAGCCAGUCUGGUUUUGGAGAAGAUGCUUUGACUGUAUUCCGUGGAAUGCGUGCUGCUCCAGCACCUUCAACUCAAGUUACAUACUCAAGCGUGCUCCGGGCUUGCGCAAGCACAGCAUCCAUCAAUCACGUUGGCCAGGUUCACUGUUUGGUUGAGAAAUCCACAUUCAACAGUGACACCAUUGUAAGCAAUUCACUUAUUGACUCAUAUGCAAAGUGUGGAUGCAUCAGGGAUGCUCGCAAGAUAUUUGAAACUCAGAAAGAACAUGAUUUAAUUUCAUGGAAUGCCAUAAUCUCAGGAUAUGUUGUUCAUGGACAUGCUGCACAUGCCCGAGAACUUUUUGACAGGAUGAACAAAAAUGGUAUUCAAGCUAAUGAUAUCACUUUUGUUGCUCUCCUGUCUGUCUAUGGCAGCACGGGUUUAGUGAGCCAAGGACUCUCUCUGUUUAAUUCUAUGAAGCUUGAUCAUGGCAUCAAACCAUCCAUGGAGCAUUACACUUGCAUUGUUAGGCUUCUAGGACGUGCUGGCCGUCUGCAUGAUGCUCUGAACUUUAUUGGAGAUAUCCCUUCAGCACCAUCUGCUAUGGUUUGGCGUGCAUUGCUUAGCUCCUGUAUAGUGCAUAAAAAUGUGGAUCUGGGGAGAUUUUCUGCAGAGAAGGUGCUUGAGAUUGAACCACAAGACGAGACAACUUAUGUCUUGCUAUCAAACAUGUAUUCUGCAGCUGGAAAUUUGGAUGAAGUUGCUCUUUUGAGGAAAUCAAUGAGGAAUAUAGGUGUAAGGAAGGAGACUGGUCUUAGUUGGGUUGAGAUGAAGGGUGAAGUUCAUGCCUUUUCAGUAGGGUUGGAAGACCAUCCAGAUAUGCGAGUGAUACAUGCUAUGCUAGAAUGGCUAAACCUGAAAACCCAUAGGGCAGGUUAUGUUCCUGAUACUAACGUAGUGUUGCAUGACGUAGAUGAGGAACAAAAGGCUCGCAUGCUGUGGGUGCAUAGUGAGAGAUUGGCUUUAGCAUAUGGGCUUGUGAUGACACCGCCUGGACAUCCAAUUCAGAUAAUGAAGAAUUUGCGCUCCUGCUUGGAUUGCCAUGCCAUUUUUAAGGUGAUAUCCAAAAUAGUCAAACAAGAAAUUAUUGUGAGAGACAUCAAUCGCUUUCAUCAUUUUGACAAGGGAACAUGCUCAUGUGGUGACUAUUGGUGA